rnacentral:lncRNA from 1 species
AUGCACCGGGAACAAGGGGACGGCUGCCACCCGGCCACCGGUGCCAGCACGGGGCGAGCGCCCCGCACGCGGCACCACCUCCGCUGCAGCGCGGCCCCCAACUCGGUGGCAGCCCCCAGCCCGCCCCCGGCUCGGGGUGGGGGACAAAGCACACCCCGCAGCCUUAGGAAGCGAGAAGGGGAAUUCACCUGUCGUCACCUACAUCCCAGGCAGCAGGAGACCCUCCGGGAGCCAGCGGCACCUCCGGCAGCGGCAGGACGGGAGCUGCCACCACCUGCAGCUCCUCCCUCCCUCUCUCCCUCCCCGCGGCCACGCCAGCGCGACCUUCAGCUGGGUGUAAAGGUCGGCCCCAAAGCGGAGGGCGGAGGCUCCAGCCCCGCGCACCCAGGGCAGAGCAGGGAGGGUUUGCUCCCACGCAGCCGAAGAGCAACAGAGGUGGCCCCGCUCCCUCCUUCCCCUGAUAGCACCCAGCAAAGGGCGCUCGUUGGCGCCGUGACCGGGUGGCGGCGGCUGCUGCUGCAGCAACAGACCGGCCAACCUGCCGGGGAGCACCGGGCACGGACACAUGGGUUACAAAAGCCCCCACGGUGGCACGAGCCGCGUGUGGGCACUGGGGGUGCUGCCCCCAGCGCCGAGCUCCCUCCGCGGAAGGAUCGGGCAGGGCGCUGCCCAGCCUGCAGAGCUGCAUCCCGCACGUGCGGCGGGAUCACCGCUGAGAAAUGCACUGCGGGCUGUUUGAAAGACAGCCCCUCGCUGUGCACGGAGGGAGACUGCUCCGUCGGCGCAGAUGCACGCGGGGUUGGGGUUAUGCAACCGUGGCUUGGCAUUUCCUGGCUACCUAGCCCUAAACCGUGCAGCCAGACCCUGCUCGAGACCUCCCUUCUGCACAGAAUUGUCGAAUGCUACUCAAAGACUACAGGAAAAAAAAAAAAGAAAAAAGAUACGCACCAAAAACCUCAAGCCACACAUAAAAAUUCCACAGCCACGUAUAGGAGCCGUGCUGCAGCCCCAGCCUCUGAAGCCUGCUCUGCUGGUUUUCUUAAAACCCCAAACCCCAGCAUAUGCAGCACAUGUGAACCUGCCGCUUGGGACAGCUUGACAAGCCAUCUGCAAGCAGCCUGCCGCUGCAUCACCCUUGGCGGGCGUGCAACGAGAAGGGUAAAGCGAGCCGGGUUUCCUCCUCUUUGCGGCGCCUCGAGCGGCAGCCUGCCUUGCGCUCGCCUUUCCCGCAGCCCCCUCUGCGUGGCUCGGGGGGCUACGUGA